GUACACUCCUGCGGGAGGCAGCAGUGGGGAAUUUUGGACAAUGGGCGAAAGCCUGAUCCAGCAAUGCCGCGUGAGUGAAGAAGGCCUUCGGGUUGUAAAGCUCUUUUGUCAGGGAAGAAACGGUGAAAGCUAAUAUCUUUUGCUAAUGACGGUACCUGAAGAAUAAGCACCGGCUAACUACGUGCCAGCAGCCGCGGUAAUACGUAGGGUGCAAGCGUUAAUCGGAAUUACUGGGCGUAAAGCGUGCGCAGGCGGUUUUGUAAGUCUGAUGUGAAAUCCCCGGGCUCAACCCGGGAAUUGCAUUGGAGACUGCAAGGCUAGAAUCUGGCAGAGGGGGGUAGAAUUCCACGUGUAGCAGUGAAAUGCGUAGAUAUGUGGAGGAACACCGAUGGCGAAGGCAGCCCCCUGGGUCAAGAUUGACGCUCAUGCACGAAAGCGUGGGGAGCAAACAGGAUUAGAAACCCUAGUAGUCCCAUGAU
rnacentral:rRNA from 1 species